rnacentral:rRNA from 1 species
GAUGAACGCUGGCGGCGUGCCUAAUACAUGCAAGUCGAGCGAACAGACGAGGAGCUUGCUCCUCUGACGUUAGCGGCGGACGGGUGAGUAACACGUGGAUAACCUACCUAUAAGACUGGGAUAACUUCGGGAAACCGGAGCUAAUACCGGAUAAUAUAUUUAACCGCAUGGUUCAAUAUUGAAAGACGGUUUUGCUGUCACUUAUAGAUGGACCCGCGUCGCAUUAGCUAGUUGGUAAGGUAACGGCUUACCAAGGCGACGAUGCGUAGCCGACCUGAGAGGGUGAUCGGCCACACUGGAACUGAGACACGGUCCAGACUCCUACGGGAGGCAGCAGUAGGGAAUCUUCCGCAAUGGGCGAAAGCCUGACGGAGCAACGCCGCGUGAGUGAUGAAGGUCUUCGGAUCGUAAAACUCUGUUAUUAGGGAAGAACAAAUGUGUAAGUAACUAUGCACGUCUUGACGGUACCUAAUCAGAAAGCCACGGCUAACUACGUG